rnacentral:misc_RNA from 1 species
AACGCACGAGACCUGCGGACCUGCGGAGGGAUCAUUAGUGAACGCCCUCACGGGCUUAUAACUAUUCCAAACCUCUGUGAACCGUGCCCUUCGGGGCCAUUUUACAAACAUGGUGUAAUGAACGUCAUAUAUCAUAACAAAACAAAACUUUCAACAAUGGAUCUCU